rnacentral:rRNA from 1 species
GGGGCAGCAUAACUUAGCUUGCUAAGUUGAUGGCGACCGGCGCACGGGUGAGUAACACGUAUCCACCUGCCGAUGACUCGGGGAUAGCCUUUCGAAAGAAAGAUUAAUACCCGAUGGCUCCGCAUGGUUAAAGAAUUUCGGUCAUCGAUGGGGAUGCGUUCCAUUAGGUUGUUGGCGGGGUAACGGCCCACCAAGCCUUCGAUGGAUAGGGGUUCUGAGAGGAAGGUCCCCCACAUUGGAACUGAGACACGGUCCAAACUCAACGGGAGGCAGCAGUGAGGAAUAUUGGUCAAUGGACGAGAGUCUGAACCAGCCAAGUAGCGUGAAGGAUGACUGCCUAUGGGUUGUAAACUUCUUUUAUACGGGAAUAAGUGAGGCACGUGUGCCUUUUUGUAUGUACCGUAUGAAUAAGGAUCGGCUAACUCCGUGCCAGCAGCCGCGGUAAUACGGAGGAUCCGAGCGUUAUCCGGAUUUAUUGGGUUUAAAGGGAGCGUAGGCGGACGCUUAAGUCAGUUGUGAAAGUUUGCGGCUCAACCGUAAAAUUGCAGUUGAUACUGGGUGUCUUGAGUACAGUAGAGGCAGGCGGAAUUCGUGGUGUAG